GAUCCUGGCUCAGGGUGAACGCUAGCGGCAGGCUUAACACAUGCAAGUCGAGGGGCAGCAUAAUGGAUAGCAAUAUCUAUGGUGGCGACCGGCGCACGGGUGCGUAACGCGUAUGCAACCUACCUUUAACAGGGGGGAUAACACUGAGAAAUUGGUACUAAUACCCCAUAAUAUCAUAGAAGGCAUCUUUUAUGGUUGAAAAUUCCGAUGGUUAGAGAUGGGCAUGCGUUGUAUUAG
rnacentral:rRNA from 1 species